CCUACGGGAGGCAGCAGUAAGGAAUAUUGGUCAAUGGACGAGAGUCUGAACCAGCCAAGUAGCGUGAAGGAUGACUGCCCUAUGGGUUGUAAACUUCUUUUAUAUGGGAAUAAAACGUUCCACGUGUGGGAUUUUGUAUGUACCAUAUGAAUAAGGAUCGGCUAACUCCGUGCCAGCAGCCGCGGUAAUACGGAGGAUCCGAGCGUUAUCCGGAUUUAUUGGGUUUAAAGGGAGCGUAGGUGGAUUGUUAAGUCAGUUGUGAAAGUUUGCGGCUCAACCGUAAAAUUGCAGUUGAAACUGGCAGUCUUGAGUACAGUAGAGGUGGGCGGAAUUCGUGGUGUAGCGGUGAAAUGCUUAGAUAUCACGAAGAACUCCGAUUGCGAAGGCAGUUCACUGGACUGCAACUGACACUGAGGCUCGAAAGUGUGGGUAUCAAACAGGAUUAGAUACCCUUGUAGUC
rnacentral:rRNA from 1 species